AGCAGCCGCGGUAAUUCCAGCUCCAAUAGCGUAUAUUAAAGUUGUUGCAGUUAAAAAGCUCGUAGUUGAAUUUCGGGGUUAGUAGGUUGGUCAUGCCUCUGGUAUGUACUGGUCUCACUGAUUCCUCCUUCCUGAUGAACCGUAAUGCCAUUAAUUUGGUGUUGCGGGGAAUUUGGACUGUUACUUUGAAAAAAUUAGAGUGUUUAAAGCAAGCUAACGCUUGAAUACAUUAGCAUGGAAUAAUGAAAUAGGACGUUCGAUCCUAUUUUGUUGGUUUCUAGGAUUGACGUAAUGAUUAAUAGGGAUAGUUGGGGGCAUUAGUAUUCAAUUGUCAGAGGUGAAAUUCUUGGAUUUAUUGAAGACUAACUACUGCGAAAGCAUUUGCCAAGGAUGUUUUCAUUAAUCAAGAACGAAAGUUAGGGGAUCGAAGACGAUCAGAUACCGUCGUAGUCUUAACCAUAAACUAUGCCGACUAGGGAUCGGAUGAUGUUAAUUUUUUAAUGACUCAUUCGGCGCCUUA
rnacentral:sRNA from 1 species